UACGAAGGGGGCUAGCGUUGCUCGGAAUUACUGGGCGUAAAGGGAGCGUAGGCGGGUCGACAAGUUGGAGGUGAAAGCCCAGGGCUCAACCUUGGAAUUGCCUUCAAAACUGUCGAUCUUGAGUAUGGGAGAGGUAAGCGGAACUCCGAGUGUAGAGGUGAAAUUCGUAGAUAUUCGGAAGAACACCAGUGGCGAAGGCGGCUUACUGGCCCAUUACUGACGCUGAGGCUCGAAAGCGUGGGGAGCAAACAGG
rnacentral:rRNA from 1 species